AAGAAAGGAACAAGAAAAAGAGGAACAAACAAACAAACAACCAUGCCAAUUUUGGUUCCUUCUCUUUUUUUUUGUUUCCUUUCUUUCAAUCUAUAAUUCAUCAUGUUUAUUUAAAAAGAAAGGAGCUGUGAAGAAACAAGCAAAGCAAG
rnacentral:ribozyme from 12 species